ACAAUUGAAAACAGUUAGUAUCAUAUAGAUCAGAAAUAAGGUUUGAUUAUCUCUACUUCGCUCCGUAAUACGCGAAACUAUGAUAUCUUUUAUUACCAUA
rnacentral:ncRNA from 2 species